GAUGAACGCUAGCGGCAGGCUUAAUACAUGCAAGUCGUGGGGCAGCAGGUCUGUAGCAAUACAGAUGCUGGCGACCGGCAAACGGGUGCGGAACACGUACACAACCUUCCUUUAAGUGGGGAAUAGCCCAGAGAAAUUUGGAUUAAUACCCCGUAACAUAAUGAAGUGGCAUCACUUUAUUAUUAUAGCUCCGGCGCUUAAAGAUGGGUGUGCGGCUGAUUAGAUAGUUGGCGGGGUAACGGCCCACCAAGUCGACGAUCAGUAACUGGUGUGAGAGCACGACCAGUCACACGGGCACUGAGACACGGGCCCGACUCCUACGGGAGGCAGCAGUAAGGAAUAUUGGUCAAUGGACGCAAGUCUGAACCAGCCAUGCCGCGUGGAGGAUGAAGGUCCUCUGGGUUGUAAACUUCUUUUAUUUGGGAAGAAAUCUAUCUUUUCUUGGAUAGUUGACGGUACCAGAUGAAUAAGCACCGGCUAACUCCGUGCCAGCCGCCGCGGUAACAC
rnacentral:rRNA from 1 species